UACGUAGGGUGCAAGCGUUGUCCGGAAUUAUUGGGCGUAAAGAGCUCGUAGGCGGUCUGUUGCGUCGGCUGUGAAAACCCGAGGCUCAACCUCGGGCCUGCAGCCGAUACGGGCAGACUAGAGUUCGGCAGGGGAGACUGGAAUUCCUGGUGUAGCGGUGAAAUGCGCAGAUAUCAGGAGGAACACCGGUGGCGAAGGCGGUUCUCUGGGCCGAUACUGACGCUGAGGAGCGAAAGCGUGGGGAGCGAACAGG
rnacentral:rRNA from 1 species